rnacentral:rRNA from 1 species
GUGCCAGCAGCCGCGGUAAUACGGAGGGUGCAAGUGUUAAUCGGAAUUACUGGGCGUAAAGGGCGCGUAGGCGGCCCUGUAAGUCUGGUGUGAAAGUCCACGGCUCAACCGUGGAAGUGCAUCAGAUACUGCAGGGCUUGAGUAUCGGAGGGGAAAGUAGAAUUCCCGGUGUAGAGGUGAAAUUCGUAGAUAUCGGGAGGAAUACCGGUGGCGAAGGCGACUUUCUGGACGAAUACUGACGCUGAGGCGCGAAAGCGUGGGGAGCAAACAGGAUUAGAUACCCUGGUAGUCC